rnacentral:rRNA from 1 species
CUGCCCGCACUUCCUCCCUGUCCCCAUGCAGCCUCAAUGAGCUUAAGUGCAACGAUCUCCAAGCGCUGGGGCGACUU